UCCGGAGAGGUGAAACAUGCGGGCCUCCUGCAGAAGAGGAAAGCUUUCGCUGCAGCUGCGGAUGAGUUCAUCACCCUCCACUUUGUCCACAAAGUACGCCGGCUCCAACAAGGGCAGCCGCACAAACGAAAGCAACCCGACUAAUCGUCCCUCUGCAGGAUGUUCCCAAGUGACUCGGCCGCCACUUCCACAAAUUCCUGCUGCUCGACCACCUGGGAGAACUGAGAGGCGACGUAGUCCUGAGCCUUGGUCUUCAGAGUGCGAAGGUCGUAGCGAUCCGCCAGGUUGAGGAUGCCAAUGCAAGUAUCCGCUUGCAGGGAUCUGCUCAGGUAGCCAACACAUGCAUCCACCACACGCAAAAACUACGAGAAACAACACAAACAAAUACAUUACAGCAAUUUUAAGAAGGAUAAAGAAAAAAAAUGCCCUAACUUAACCUGUUUUGUUACACAAGUAUGAAACUCGUACUUCCUUUUUUCUAUUGCAAACAUGAUCUUGCGUUACCAGUUGGGAACUAGUAAAAACUGAGUGAGUGAUAGAUCAUAAUUACGGCAUUGCUUGAAAUAUAUUGUUUUAGACAGAAAGGAAAUACAUUUUUACAGCUGUAGUAUUUUGUAAAUCUUGUAAUAAUAUACAAACAAUGUUUUCAUCAACAUAUUUCCAUUUAUUAACUGCCAAGUUAUUCAUUGUAUCGCACUGCUGACCACAACAACUACAAUAUCGUUAUUGCUCACCCUUUGAGGUAGCUUUAAUUGACAGGAAAGAGUUUGCAUCCAGUGGUGCUUUUAGGUAUUGCUCACCUGAAACUGACUGGCUGCUUCCAGUACACUCUGCACAUUUGAGUGAGUGAGGACGGCCCGACUGGUGUAAGUAUAUUGCAGAAGAGUCCGCAUUGUCUCGCUGUCCAGUCCUUUCAUCUCCACCCUUUCCUCUUGACUCUCUCUCAAACCACUGCAGAACAUGGCCCUGAACAUAGCAAAAUCCGUCAAGUCAUUGCCGACUGAGCCUUGCUAUGUCCUCAAAGAUUUUUGUUUUUUUUCGAGCAGAUAAAUUGCAGCCUUUCCCAUACUCAGAGUUGCAGCAGUUUGCAGUCAAGUCCAUCCGUGGAACUGGUCCUAGAAUUCUCCUAAAAUUCCACCUCGACAGUUUCACUUAUAUAAAUGUGAAGUAUGCUAAGCAAGCCAAUCAGAAGCAGAUCUUAGAGAAUUGACCUCGUUUAGUGAUCAUUUCAAUGAUUCACCAUGAAAACAAUGUAAGGGCCUUCAGCUUUUAUUUUUAUACCCCCCCCACCCCUUUUUUUUUUUCCUUCUUCUUUUACCUGAAGUACUGACUGGCCGCAGCAAGGAUGGCUCUGUGGCAAGGGAAGUCACGUCCUUGUACACACACGACCACAUCAGUCAGCUCGAGGUUCACUCGCAAGUCCUCCAUGCCUCUCUGCAGUGCCGCGGGCAGACCUCCAUCUUCCCAGCGGUACUCUGUGCCGCACUCCUUAUCUGGGCCCGCGGCCUCCUCGGCGAGAGACAAGGGACACUCUGUCAUCCUCUCUAGUGAGUCGCUCAUCUUUCCUCUGAAGCUCCUGCACAAAACUUCUCUUCGGGUGUGCACCUG